GGCCCUAUGGGGUGCAGCAGGCGAGAAAACUUUGCAAUGUGCGAAAGCACGACAAGGUUAAUCCGAGUGGUUUCUGCUAAAGGAACCUUUUGUCGGUCCUAGAAACACCGAUGAAUAAGGGGUGGGCAAGUUCUGGUGUCAGCCGCCGCGGUAAAACCAGCACCUCAAGUGGUCAGGAUGAUUAUUGGGCCUAAAGCAUCCGUAGCCGGCUCUGUAAGUUUUCGGUUAAAUCUGUACGCUCAACGUACAGGCUGCCGGGAAUACUGCAGAGCUAGGGAGUGGGAGAGGUAGACGGUACUCGGUAGGAAGGGGUAAAAUCCUUUGAUCUAUUGAUGACCACCUGUGGCGAAGGCGGUCUACCAGAACACGUCCGACGGUGAGGGAUGAAAGCUGGGGGAGCAAACCGGAUUAGAUACCCGGGUAGUCCCAGCUGUAAACUAUGCAAACUCAGUGAUGCAUUGACUUGUGGUCAAUGCGGUGCUGCAGGGAAGCCGUUAAGUUUGCCGCCUGGGAAGUACGUACGCAAGUAUGAAACUUAAAGGAAUUGGCGGGGGAGCAC
rnacentral:rRNA from 1 species